rnacentral:lncRNA from 1 species
UUCCUUCCCGCUGGACUUAAGAGGAAGCUUUAGCUCAGACCCAACUCUGAUGUGGCCUAUUCAAAUAGAUGUAGAACGCAGAAGCGCUUUUCAGAGGCAACCCCUGGACCAACUUUAAUGAGGUCUGUUGCGUUUCAG